UCUGCUUUUGGAAUAAUUUAGGGUAGGUACACCAACGAACUGAAAAUUAGAUGACUUAGAAUAAAAUUAAAUCGGGUUAUAUGCAAAGAAUUAUCUUUGCUAUGUUGUUUGACAAUAGCCUGUGGAACCGUAUCUUUGAUAUCCAUGGACUUGCUGUGAUGUGAUUGGUCAGUGAAUUUGUAGUAAAAUCACGUAAUGGAGGAUGUAUGUAGAUUGGUGCGUUGUAAAUUAGAAUUCGGUAAAAGUGUGUUCUUGCAUAUUUAUGAGUUCUUCGAAAUGUAAGUGUUUAUGCUGAAAUGCGGUUGAAAUAAGCUUGCUUACUGCAGCUAAGGUCAUGUGGGGCAGUGUAAUGAUAUGUCAUCUGAUGGGAUCGGGAGCUGCACACUUCCAUCAGGCUAGCUUGUGCCUUCUACACAUGGAAUGAAAGUGCAGAUACCUGUUGAAUCAACCCUCAUAUGUUUCAGAAAACUGGUACCAACAAGUGGAAACAGCAAGGGUAAAGAAGCAACUGCUUGGUACCAGAAUGCCCUAGGUCAAUGGUCCAAAUGUCCACCUCCUGCCAGAAAGAGGCCUCAGCUCGAUGUCUCAUUGCCACCCAGAGAUGACCCACAAAUCCUGGCAUAUUGCAUAUUGUCUGAAAACCCACUACAAUCUGAUUUUGGAGAGUUUCCACAUCAUCCACUGGAGGGGAAUACACAAACGAUUUUAAGUGGCCCCACAAGUAGAAAUCCAGUUGAUUUAAAUCAUGUGAGGACUGAGGCCAGGACCUGUACCUACCCAUCAACCAGGAAACUUUCAAGUCAGGUACCUGCGGGCAACAAGACUGAAACGUGCAGGAGUGCCAUCAUGCAUGAAGUAUAGUUCUCGAUGAAUGAUCAGAGGCACACUGGCCAAGAAAUGUUUUCCUAUCUGAACAUGUUCAUCCUGGAUACCUUUCUUGGUACAAAUGAGUCACCACAGCAUUACUGUCUGCCAAACAAAACAUGAAGUGCACAUCAGCUAGCUCUUGAUUUGAGCAACUUGCAGUCACCACAUAAUUACUGUACACUUCUCCUACUAAUAUUUGGAAACUUUCCGAGAUUGUAUCGGUCUGAUACCAUGACUGUCUUAGUGUAGUGAAUGACGGAAACCAUCUGUGGGAGUUACGAAAUUGAGUUUAUCAUUCAGCAGUUUUAGAAAGCCUUGACUUGGAAACUAUGCAUUUCUGGAACUGUGUUGAUAUGAACUGUUUUUAUUAUCUUUAUAUGAGGAAUGCAUUCCUGAAGCUAUGCCAUGUAUUUCUUAAAUACUCUGUAUAAGAGUAAUUCUUUUAUGAAAUGUACUUGAGUUAAGUUACAUACAUAAUAUUUUUUAGUAGGAUUGCUUUUCUGUGUUUCGGCUUCCGUCAUCGGUGUUUUCAUUCUUUUGUUAUUUACUUGUACACUGAUAAUUGUCAUAUUUUGAUUUCAGUGUUAUUUUGAGUUAUGUUCCAAGUAUGGUUCCAGUAUUUAAUAUUAAUAUGGUGUAAGGUGUGUAAUUGUUCAUUCAGUGUUUCUUCCUAAUG